GAAAUGUGGCGUUCAGGAKUGAGCGUGUCGAGUCCGGAACCGGCGGCAAGUCCCCCUGACCGGGGCCUGUCCGUASCGGGUGCGAGGCCCAUAGCCGCCGGARCCGACUCGAAUGCGAUYUCCUUGGAGUCGGGUUGCUUGGGAGUGCAGCCCCAAUCGGGUGGUAAACUCCACCUAAGGCUAAAUACCGCCGUGAGACCGAUAGCAAACAAGUACCGUGAGGGAAAGUUGCAAAGAACUUUGAAGAGAGAGUUCAAGAGUACGUGAAACUGCUCAGAGGUAAACGGGUGGGCCCUCGAAAUCCUGUGGCGAGAGGAUUCAGUCUGCUUCGGGCGACGCCCGAGGGGAAGCUUCCUGGGUAGGGCAUCCGCCGAGCGCGGGCCGUCUUCCCGGGCGCAUCUGUCCGGAGCARACGCAUUUGACUCUCGUCCCGAGGACGCCGCAGCCGGUCUGGAAGCAAGCAAGCGCGACGGCCUGAAGGUCGGGAAAUGGCAGGUGGCCGGUGGCUCGCCUCGUGCGGGCCGUCGGUUGUUAGCCGUCCCGUCGGUGGCUCGUCUCCAGACCGUGGUGUCGCGAGUCCCUCGCGGGACUCCACGUCUCCUCCUCGUAGAUGGCGGGACAGAGCCCGGCCAGGAGUGCCGGCGUCGUGCGCCGCACUACCACGGAGUGGCCGGACGGUCGCAGGUCCCGAAUCGCCGGGCCGGACCCGUCGGAGGCCGGAGGCUUGCGGCGAGUAGGUCGGUCACCCACCCGACCCGUCUUGAAACACGGACCAAGGAGUCUAACAUGUGCGCGAGUCAGUGGGUCUUGAACAGGCCCACGGGCGCAAUGAAAGCGAAGGACCGCCGAGCGCGGUCUGAGUGGGGAUCCUCCCUCGUUCGUGGGGGAGGCGCACCCGCGACCCGUCUCGUCCGGCUCGCCGGAGGGGCGGAGUCUGAGCGUACACGUUGGGACCCGAAAGAUGGUGAACUAUGCCCGGACAGGAYGAGGCCAGAGGAAAC
rnacentral:rRNA from 1 species